rnacentral:rRNA from 1 species
AAACUUACCAGGUCAAGACAUGGGCGUGAUUGACAGGCUAAUGACUUUUCUCGAUUCCAUGGAUGGUGGUGCAUGGUCGCACUUAGUUGGUGCAGUGAUUUGUCAGGUUUAUUCCGGUAACGAACGAGACCUCGGCCUUGUAAAUAGCUAUGCUGCUUACAGGGACAUUGGCGGCUACGCCAAGGAAGCUCGAGGCAAUUGCAGAUCUGGAAUACCCUUAGAUGUCCUGGGUCGCACGCGUGCUACAAUGACGCCACGAACGAGCUUGCGUGAUGAAAGUUACGCAUAAUCAGCAGUCGGCGUCUUAAGGGAUAGUCUCUUGUAACUGUGGGACUCCAACUAGGAAUGUCUCGUAAGCACAAGUCAACAUCUUGUGUUGAUUACGUCCCUGCUCUUUGUACACACCGCCCGUCGCUCCUACCGAUCGAGUGUUUAGGUGAAUUUGAUGGACGUAAGGAAGUCAAAUAAACCUGAGCACUAGAGAAGAGAAGUCGACAUCC